GGGGAAUAUUGCACAAUGGGCGCAAGCCUGAUGCAGCGACGCCGCGUGAGGGAUGGAGGCCUUCGGGUUGUAAACCUCUUUUGUUAGGGAGCAAGGCACUUCGUGUUGAGUGUACCUUUCGAAUAAGCACCGGCUAACUACGUGCCAGCAGCCGCGGUAAUACGUAGGGUGCAAGCGUUAUCCGGAAUUAUUGGGCGUAAAGGGCUCGUAGGCGGUUCGUCGCGUCCGGUGUGAAAGUCCAUCGCUUAACGGUGGAUCCGCGCCGGGUACGGGCGGGCUUGAGUGCGGUAGGGGAGACUGGAAUUCCCGGUGUAACGGUGGAAUGUGUAGAUAUCGGGAAGAACACCAAUGGCGAAGGCAGGUCUCUGGGCCGUUACUGACGCUGAGGAGCGAAAGCGUGGGGAGCGAAC
rnacentral:rRNA from 1 species